GAUGAACGCUGGCGGCGUGCCUAAUACAUGCAAGUCGAGCGAAGCGGGGACGGGUGAGUAACACGUGGAUAACCUCCUAUAAGACUGGGAGAAAUUCGGGAAACCGGUGCUAAACCGGCUCCUUAUAGAUGGAUCCGCGCUGCAUUAGCUAGUUGGUAAGGUAACGGUUUACCAGGGCAACGAUGCAUAGACGACCUGAUCGGGUGAUCGGCCACACUGGAACGGAGACACGGUCCAGACUCCGACGGGAGGCAGCAGUAGGGAAUAUUCCGCAAUGGGCGAAAGCCUGACGGAGCAACGCCGCGUGAGUGAUGAAGGUCUUCGGAUCGUAAACCUCUGUUAUUAGGGAAGCGGUACCUAAUCAGAAAGCCACGGCUAACUACGUGCCAGCAGCCGCGGUAAUUC
rnacentral:rRNA from 1 species